rnacentral:rRNA from 1 species
AACGAGCGCUGGCGGCAUGCUUUACACAUGCAAGUCGAACGGUAACAGGUUAAGCUGACGAGUGGCGAACGGGUGAGUAAUGCAUCGGAACGUGCCCGAUCGUGGGGGAUAACGCAGCGAAAGCUGCGCUAAUACCGCAUACGAUCUGAGGAUGAAAGCGGGGGACCGUAAGGCCUCGCGCGAUCGGAGCGGCCGAUGUCAGAUUAGGUAGUUGGUGGGGUAAAGGCCCACCAAGCCGACGAUCUGUAGCUGGUCUGAGAGGACGACCAGCCACACUGGGACUGAGACACGGCCCAGACUCCUACGGGAGGCAGCAGUGGGGAAUUUUGGACAAUGGGCGAAAGCCUGACCCAGCAAUGCCGCGUGCAGGAAGAAGGCCUUCGGGUUGUAAACUGCUUUUGUACGGAGCGAAAAGGUCCUUUCUAAUACAAGGGGCUCAUGACGGUACCGUAAGAAUAAGCACCGGCUAACUACGUGCCAGCCGCCGCGGUAAAAC